rnacentral:sRNA from 1 species
CGACCGCACCACCCCCGUGUAGAGGCGGC